GAGCGUUCUGUAAGCCGUUGAAGGUGAAUCGUAAGGUUUGCUGGAGGUAUCAGAAGUGCGAAUGCUGACAUGAGUAACGACAAAGGGGGUGAAAAACCUCCUCGCCGGAAGACCAAGGGUUCCUGUCCAACGUUAAUCGGGGCAGGGUGAGUCGACCCCUAAGGUGAGGCCGAAAGGCGUAAUCGAUGGGAAACGGGUUAAUAUUCCCGUACUUCUGACUAUUGCGAUGGGGGGACGGAGAAGGCUAGGUGGGCCAGGCGACGGUUGUCCUGGUUCAAGUGCGUAGGCUUGAGAGUUAGGUAAAUCCGGCUCUCUCUAAGGCUGAGACACGACGUCGAGCUGCUACGGCAGUGAAGUCAUUGAUGCCAUGCUUCCAGGAAAAGCCUCUAAGCUUCAGAUAGUCAGGAAUCGUACCCCAAACCGACACAGGUGGUCGGGUAGAGAAUACCAAGGCGCUUGAGAGAACUCGGGUGAAGGAACUAGGCAAAAUGGUACCGUAACUUCGGGAGAAGGUACGCUCUUGAUGGUGAAGUCCCUCGCGGAUGGAGCUGACGAGAGUCGCAGAUACCAGGUGGCUGCAACUGUUUAUUAAAAACACAGCACUGUGCAAAAUCGCAAGAUGACGUAUACGGUGUGACGCCUGCCCGGUGCCGGAA
rnacentral:rRNA from 1 species